ACACCUCAACUCUUCAUGGUUUUCCAUGAUGAGCUUGGACUUUGGGGGACUUGCUGGCCUACAGUCAGCUCCUCUAAAAUAAAUCAGCUCGCCAGUGUUUGGUGGGUAUCGCAGGUGUGAUAACUAUCUACGCUUGUGGUUUUCCACCAAGUAACCUUCAGCAGUGGAGGUUCACUGGAGCUCACAGACGUCUCUCCUCAGUGAGGGACAGCCCUUUGAAU
rnacentral:misc_RNA from 1 species